rnacentral:misc_RNA from 1 species
UCUAUGUUUCUGGAUGUUCUGCCUUUGAAAGACACAUAAUAUGUGGAUCAAAAAGCUUUGAUCCAUUACUGGAGAGAAAAUUAGGCACUUUAAGUUGGACCCAGAGCAAACACUUGCAAGGAAGAAUUUAUUAUUUCAUGUUCAGGGUAAUAAACAUUAAUAUCAGCUGUAAAUUUCACAUGGAAAACUUUUAGCUAUUUCUCUGCCCUAAAUCACUUCCCACUACGCAUGCCCUAUUAAUGUACACGGCAUUAAGGUUCAGAUGGGGAGCUUUGUCUUGGUAAAAAGCAUCUACCAAUCAAGGGAAACCAAAAUCUUUCACCUUAGAAUCAGUUGAUAACUUCCUCAUUACUGGCAUGGAGGUAUGCUGAUGCAACUGAAGCUUAGCCUUCUCAUUCCUCUUGUAUGCAGAUUCAGCAACUUGCACCGCUUUCUCACUCCUGCACCCCAAUAGGCUAUUUGGGAGGCGGCUUCUAGGCCUUGAAGCUAAGCCAGAAGAUUUUGUACAACUUUCUGCAGGUUUCUUUUCAUCAUAAUGUGGAACAGCAUAGAAAUCUGCAGCACUGGCUGUGACAACACUCCACUCAAUGCUGGUCUCGCUUGGCUCAUACCGGCUUGGAGGUGUCAUGCAGCCGGACAUGCCAUCAGAAGUUUGCUUCCUGAACAUUGGCUGUGUACUGCAGGACAAGUUCUCAAUCUCGAACAGGUCUGAACUAGCAUCACUUUCUGCUUCUUCACACAUUUGACUGCUUGCAGAAGUGGUUGGCAGGGUUUGUGCCUUCGGAAAUGGAAUGGCAUCCCAAGUUAGCACAGAGAGUUUCCUUUCUAGAUUUGAUGCUAUGUCUUCCUUCUUUACCUUAUGGGAGCCAAACACAUCCAGUGAUUCUCGUAGAUCUUCUUCCAGGAUCUUCUGCUUCUCUCUUUUAACACUCAUGCUUUGCACCCCAGAAUUUACAGUUGGUAAUACUAAGUAGUCUUCUCUGUUCGAACCAAUCCUUGUCCUUUCAAAACUUGGACAGCGAAACUCAUCUUUCAUCAGAAGUCCAGAAUAAGAAUUCUUUCUUCCCUCUAGCAUGAUAGGGUCUCCGGCAACUUGAAGCCCACUACGAGGAAUACUUCUAUCUAUAUAAACAGAUUUAUCAUCGGAACAAGAUCCACUGCAGGAAAAUCCGGGAAAGAACCAUCUUUCAUUUGCUUUCUUCCGCCUGCUAUGGGAUAAGUUUCUCCGAGAAUUUGUUAAUAACGUAGUUUGGCUAUUCCAACUCGAUUCAGAACUCACACUUGGAGUCCCUAACCUGCCUUUUGGUUUCAAAAGGUGAUGAUCAACCCGAUUCUCUAUUGUCUUAUGCGCAAACUUGCCUGCAUCGGCAUUUAUGCUUCCUGCACUUUCUUCUUCCAGUUUCAUAUUGAAAUACUUCUCAGCACCAAAGACGCCGAUUUCACCCUCUUCAGGCUCAGUUCCCUCCAAGUUUAUCAGAGUGGAAGUCUCUUGGGUUGUGAUUAUUUCAGGACGAGGAAACUGAGCUGACUCUGUCAGCUUAACUACAUAAUUCUGCUGCGCUGCAGUAAGAAAAGAAAAUGAAGCAUCUCGAAGAUCAGUACUCUUGAUUUCUCCAUCCAUAGCUACAGAAAGGCUGGUAGAGGAAGAAAAUUAAGAAUCUGGGAAAUCCUAUGACAAGCUAAGGAGCAUGGAGGCACAGUUGACUGAUACAAUGA